CCUACGGGUGACAGCAGUGGGGAAUAUUGGGCAAUGGGCGCAAGCCUGACCCAGCAACGCCGCGUGAAGGAAGAAGGCUUUCGGGUUGUAAACUUCUUUUCUCAGGGACGAAGAAAGUGACGGUACCUGAGGAAUAAGCCACGGCUAACUACGUGCGAGCAGCCGCGGUAAUACGUAGGUGGCAAGCGUUAUCCGGAUUUAUUGGGUGUAAAGGGCGUGGAGGCGGGAGCGUAAGGCAGAUGGGAAAACUCAGGGCCGCACCCUGAGACUGCAUUUGAAACUGUGUUUCUUGAGUGCUGGAGAGGCGAUCGGAAUUCCGUGUGUAGCGGUGAAAUGCGUAGAUAUACGGAGGAACACCAGUGGCGAAGGCGGAUUGCUGGACAGUAACUGACGCUGAGGCGCGAAAGCGUGGGGAGCGAACAGGAUUAGAUACCCCUGUAGUC
rnacentral:rRNA from 1 species